rnacentral:tRNA from 1 species
GGAGAGAUGGCUGAGUGGUCUAUAGCGAUAGAUUGCUAAUCUAUUGUAGGUUUUUUAUCUACCGAGGGUUCGAAUCCCUCUCUCUCCUA